rnacentral:rRNA from 1 species
UACGUAGGGGGCAAGCGUUGUCCGGAAUCAUUGGGCGUAAAGCGCGCGUAGGCGGCCCGGUAAGUCCGCUCUGAAAGUCCAGGGCUCAACCCUGGAAAGCGGGUGGAUACUGCCGGGCUAGAAUCCGGAAGAGGCGAGUGGAAUUCCUGGUGUAGCGGUGAAAUGCGCAGAUAUCGGGAAGAACACCCGUGGCGAAGGCGGUUCUCUGGGACGGUACUGACGCUGAGACGCGAAAGCGUGGGGAGCGAACAGG